CCCAAGCGUCAUGUAUCUGAUGGAGAUGGUGUUGGAGGGAAACGCAAAGGAUGCAGCUAUAAGAAAACACAUACUCUAUGCUAAUCUCUCUCUAAGUUAUGCUUUCAUCGUUCAAGUAAAUCCAUACCCCCCAACAGCAGUGUGCAGUGAAGCAGGAAGUCAAAGGGCGUGGUAAAAGGGUGGGCCACUGAUGCGAAUCACGUGACCAGAACUGCCAAAAGGGGCGAACAUGCCCAAAAAGGUGGCAUGUCUGUCCAAAGAAUUUAAGGCCAGCCUGGCAUCAGUG
rnacentral:lncRNA from 1 species